AGAUAUUUGAUCCGUUCCAAAGCAAUAAUGACUCUAUAGCCGAAUUGUCGCUAUAUGCGAUGUCGUUAUAACCGAAUUCAACUGUACUUGGCAGAAGUUGUCCUGGUAGAGCGGCCACUAUCUGGAAAAUCGGCUCCGUCUGAUUUUUCGUCAGUUAACAGUCCUUCGAUUGAUUCCACUGAUGCCAGUUGGAUCAUGGUGGCCGUGUCCAUCUAUGUCUAGCCAGAUUCGAUGGCAUCAUUUUUAAAUUAAACUGAAUUCUGAAGUCGUAGACAGCCACCCGAUUUUUUUAUUCUUUUAUAUUAAUUCAUGUUUUUUUUGCUAAUAGAUGACGCCACUUCCCACUCAGUAAGAGUACUAAGUGACGGGGCGAAACAAGCCCUUCCACAAGCUGCCCACCCCUGCGGAGGGGUCAGCCGGAUGGUGGAGGGCGGGGAUCGAUGGGCCGGGUCCUCCAGAGUGGAAAGCCGAAGCGUUUCCACGCGGCCAAUCCGGCCGACUAUUAAUUCAUGUUAGAGUAAACCGUCUAGGUAGUUACUCCAAAUUGAUUUUCGGAUGCUUUUGGCCAUAUUUUUAUCAACACAAGCCACUUUCCAGUUACUGGUGAUUAGCCAUAACUGUGACCAGGCUAUAACCAUCCUGCCCACUGUGGAGAGGGAGUCAGCCGGAUGAUAGAGGACACAGCAACGGCCGGGACCGGAUUCAGUGAAAAAUUUUUUAAAGGUGGAAACCAAAGUAUCAUUGUUUGUACUUUAUCCUUUUUUAGAUUAAAAACAUAACGCAAUAAAAAUUAAAUGCGCUAUGAAAAGAAUGAAACAUUCGUUGAAUCAGAGAAGUACGGCGAUAAGAAUAGUAGUCAGAAAUAUAGGAGUCCCUAGAUAGAUAGAGAUUUGCGCCAUGAAGUACCGCCAAAUUAGCUAUUUUGUAUCCUGUUAGAUAGGGAGUUAUCAUCGCGUUCAUAGACUUUCUGGUAAUUUUUUAAGAACAUGGCUUGUAGUACCGUAAAUU
rnacentral:lncRNA from 1 species